rnacentral:rRNA from 1 species
GGUCCCGCCUGCCCAGUGAUUCAUUUAAACGGCCGCGGUAUUAUAACCGUGCAAAGGUAGCGUAAUCACUUGUCUCCUAAAUAGAGACCAGUAUGAACGGCUAAAUGAGGACAAACCUGUCUCUUGCAACCAAUCAGUGAAACUGAUCUUCCGGUCCAAAAGCCGGAAUACCCCCAUAAGACGAGAAGACCCUGUGGAGCUUCAAACAACCCACUACGCAGCACCACCCGCGCAGCUAGUAAGAAGUUUUGAGUUGGGGCGACUUCGGAGCCAAAAAAACCCUCCGAGCACAGAACCACCCGUUCUUACUAAGACCUACAAGUCAAAGCACAAAACAUGACCCAGUAGUACUGACCAACGAACCAAGUUACCCCAGGGAUAACAGCGCUAUCUUCUUCAAGAGUCCAUAUCGACAAGAAGGUUUACGACCUCGAUGUUGGAUCAGGACACCCCAAUGGUGCAGCCGCUAUUAAAGGUUCGUUUGUUCAACGAUU